GUGUGUUUUGUAAGCAACCCUUUGUCUUCCACUCUCAUUCUUCUCACGCACUUUUCUGUUUCUCAUUCAUUUGGUGCAAAAACCCUAAAAAUGCCCUUUUCUUCUAUUUCAAAAAUUUCCGUUAUUACUCUUCUGAUACACCGCUCUUCUGUUGUCGCACGGACAUUGUUCUUUUUUCUGUUCGAAAAUCUCCGUUUUACUGAUAUGCAUUUUGAACGACGAUCGGCAGGAACGAGGUUUCUAUGAUUUCUAUGAACCCAAUCGACUGUUUCUUCGGAACGAGGUUGCUAUGAACCCAAUUGACAGUUGAAGAAAGAGUUCGAUAGAAAGGGCAAAAAUUGCGGUCCCAAUGUUUAUAAACAGCCAAGAUAAGAAGCAGAAAUGACAAUGCAAGAAUUACCCAUUCAUCUUAGUAUACUAUUUUAUAUCCAUAUAUUUUGGUUAGGAUUUACCAAAAUUGAACAAAGGAAAAGUAGUCACAUGGGUGAUAAUAAGAUGGUAUGACAAUAUUAACUUUGUUUAUAUAUAUAUAUAAAUUGUUUUUAUACAAAAUAAUAUUUUUCUUUUUACCAAAAUGUUUUUGUUAGGGUUUACAAGGGGUGCGGAUAAAGGAAGCGUUGCAAAUUCUAGUGUUCAAUUUUAACUAUAUAAAAAAGACAUUGAUGUUUUGAAUGUUACGGAAGGAUAUUGGGAAAUAUUUGUAUUUGCAAUUGGGUAAUACCAUGGUUCUCAUUAUUUUGAUUUGUUACCAUAUUUAGUUAUUAAAAAUGCAAAUGGUUCAAAUUUCACAAGUAAGCAAUGAAAUAACUAGGGUGUUUUACAUAUGUAAGGCAAUGCGUUUGCCAGCUUGGUGUAUUUUGAUGCGUGAACCAUAUAACAAUUCGGUAGAAAUAAAAAUAUGAAAUGCGUUUAUAAUAAUUCACAAAUCAUCUCAAAACUUCAUUGUAAAAAAUAUAUAUCGAAAUUAAAUUCUAGUAGUUAAUAGCUCGUACACAGUAAUAAACACGACUAAAUAUUGCAUAGCCUAAGUUACCUAAUGAACCUCGUGUUGUUUGAAGGAGAACAUUAUUGUCUGAGGACACAAUUAAAUAAGUUUUUAUACACUAAACUCAAUUAAAUAUGUGAAUCAAGUUUAUAAGACAUCUCAUUCACUCACAAAUUGUGAAGAUCCACAACCUAUUCCGAAAGAAUAGCCACGACAUCUGACAUAAUUAAAGCAUUAGUUGCUGACAAACUUUUUCAACUUGUACUUGAAAAAUAUAAUUCAUUUUGAAAGUAAAAAUACACUAUCAAUGAUUAUUAUCAAAGUUUGGGGUUGUUCAGUAAAUCUCUUGAUUCAGUGACUAUUGGGGGUAAUGAACCCUAAGUAAGCAACAUAUAUUUAUAUGAACUUAGGUUAUGCUACUUCAUUUGAAUGUAAUGUAUCAUAUAAUCGUAUUAAUUGAUGUGUUUUGAUAAUGCUAUUAAGCAAGCUGGGCUUAGGUGUGAUUUCGAUACAAAUCUUCCACAGGUGGAAAUCGACCGACUAUCUAUUCACUGAAGAUAAUGUUCAAACUAGUAUGUGUGUUUAUGAACGUAGAUUAUGUCUCCAAAUUGUUUGCUACCUAAUAAAGAAAUUCGUCAUAACUUGCUGUUGUAUUAAUCAAUGGCUGGAAAGAAUAGGGGUAUCUGUCAUAGUUGUUGACAACCUGGGCAUCAACUGUAUGAAUGUCCCCCAAAAAAAAAAUAAAAAUAAAAAUAAAAAUCUGAACUGUUUACAAGGAAUUGUAAAAAUGAUGGAGGUUGAGAAGAAUACGCACAACAUAAGCUGAAUAUUCUUGUGUUGUACAAAAGAUUGCGGUUAUUUUGACUGGAAUGACGGGAAGUCCUCGAAGAAGAAACUCUUGCCAUUUGAAGGACAGCCUAGUAAUUAUUGUGAUGGAAUGCAAUCAAGCACUGUUGGGAUGUCUCCAAAUAAAGCUAAAGCACCAAUUGAUGACCUGUUGAAAAGUGUUGCCGAAUUAAAGAUAGAAGAAGGGGAUGUGGAGAUAUCAUUCAACAUAACUAUCCGAAAAGGAAAUUGGAAGAUAUUGUCAAGGAAAAGCGAAUGCAGUAGAACUGAUUUUUAUGUUUAUGUUUAGGUGUCUUGUGUAGUUGUAGCAGCUUGUCGAACUUAUGUAAUCAGAUAUUUCAACGAAGCUUAUGUUUAUGUUAAUGUUGAGCCACAUUUUAAUUC